rnacentral:lncRNA from 1 species
GGGCUCGAUCAUAGAAGGCACUUCAUGGUUUCUUUCUUUUAUUUUCUCUUAGCAAACUUACAAUAAUUUAUAUGCCUCUGUCAGGAGUUAUGCAGAUUAUGAGAGAGACUUUGAAGUAAAAUGUCAGAUGCCUUCAAAACGGUAAGCUAAUUGAGUCCUUUGUGUCGAACUCUAGGCUUUCCCUUUUAUAAUGGUUCCAAUUGAGGGUUUUCUCCUCCUAUUCUAAAGCCUUUUUUCUUUUUGUACUUAAUGAUAAUAAUUUUCUAAGUUUUAGUUUACUUUAAAAUGUAAUUCUGAAUCUAACAAGGGACACACGUGUACGUUGGUAGUUAAAUUUUCUCUCUUUGUUUCGAAACCUAGCCUCCGUUUGACCCUCAUUAAUUUUCAUUCCAUGACAUUUCAUUUUUCUCUCUCCUAUUUUCAACCACACAAUCUUCCAUAAAAUAAUAUUACAUGUAAAUCGAAAAAUUUUCCUUCUUUUUCAACCACUCAUAUUUCAAAAAAAUAUUAUUCCACCCAUUAAUUUUUCCACAAAGUGGGGCCAAACGGGGACUUAAAGCAGUAUAAUACACAAUAUUGGGUCGAAGUUUGAUGUUAACAAAGAGAAAAGUGUCCAAGAUGAAGUCUGGGUUUUGAAUUAUUUAUAUACCAUUUACUAUUAAAAAUUAAUAAAUCUAUAUGAAUUAAGUAGAUGUACAAAUUUUAUUGAUAAAAGUUGAUCAUGGUUAGGAUGUAAUUAACAAAGGUCUUGAAUUUAUGCAUUAAACUUUUAUAAUCUACUAAAAUGAAAUUGUCCUGCACCAUCAUUCAAUUUACUAAUUUUGAAUUUUAUUCAUCGCUAUAUUUUAUUUUCGAGUAUAAAGAAAAUUUUGUAAGAUUGUAGGUCGAGCAGGGCCCAACACAGUAUAGACCCUCCUAAGCUAGGUUUUGGGUAGAAAGUUAUUCAGGUUUUACAAAAGUGGUAAUGUGAUUUAUCAAAUUCCUAUACGAUCUAGAAUUCAAGUUAUCACAUUUGUCUUAAUUUAUGGAACUAUUUUUGAAUUGUAAAUUGUCUGUGCAUGAAUAUACAUUUCUGAAAUUUAAGUAGUUAUAUAUGUUUUGAUGCAUUGGCUAAUAAAAUCAAUUGUUUAAACUUCCCAUUAUAGAUUUUGGAGGAAAGCUAAUAUGAUGCAGAAGGAAUUAGACUUUAUGGCAAAGUGAGAUCGGUGCAAGCAAAAAAGGCAACUUCUCGAUUUCGAGUAAAUUCCUUUGUUUAGGCUUUUGUUUAUACCUUUUUUUUUCUAUUUUGAUAAUUUCUGUUUUGGUUAUAUUUCAAUCAAAUAAAUUCAUAAUUGAAUUCCAUUUGUUGAAGGACGAUCCUAAAGAUUAGGACUUUCAAUUUUAGUCAUUAUCUCGAUUUUUUUUUUCA